rnacentral:tRNA from 1 species
GCAGGCAUAGUUUAACAAAAUAUUAGAUUGUGAUUCUAAAGACAGGGGUUAGAACCCCCUUGCCCGCC